GACGAACGCUGGCGGCGUGCUUAACACAUGCAAGUCGAACGGAAAGGCCCUGCUUGCAGGGUACUCGAGUGGCGAACGGGUGAGUAACACGUGGGUGAUCUGCCCUGCACUUCGGGAUAAGCCUGGGAAACUGGGUCUAAUACCGGAUAGGAGCCAUUUUUAGUGUGAUGGUUGGAAAGUUUUUUCGGUGUAGGAUGAGCUCGCGGCCUAUCAGCUUGUUGGUGGGGUAAUGGCCUACCAAGGCGGCGACGGGUAGCCGGCCUGAGAGGGUGGACGGCCACAUUGGGACUGAGAUACGGCCCAGACUCCUACGGGGGGCAGCAGUGGGGAAUAUUGCACAAUGGGCGCAAGCCUGAUGCAGCGACGCCGCGUGGGGGAUGACGGCCUUCGGGUUGGAAACUCCUUUCGCUAGGGACGAAGCUUUUUGUGACGGUACCUAGAUAAGAAGCACCGGCUAACUACGUG
rnacentral:rRNA from 1 species